GAAGUUAGAAUAGAGCACGGGCUUAUGUCAUGGCUGUGCUUUUAGGCCGUGUGCAAUACUGAUUGACUAACACGAGCGUGUUGGACCUCACACGGGCGUGAGAGAAACGAAAGGAGUACCACAUGGCCGUGCGAUGCAGCUGUGUGCGAUACUGACUUGAAACAUCAACUCAUAAGCAUAAGCCAUGAACACGAGCAUGGAGAAUCCCACACGGGCGUGGGAGAAACGAACGAACGUGCACACGGCCAUGCGAUUCGAC
rnacentral:lncRNA from 1 species